GAGGAAUAUUGGUCAAUGGGCGCAAGCCUGAACCAGCCAUGCCGCGUGAAGGAUGACGGCGCUACGCGUUGUAAACUUCUUUUGUACAGGAAGAAACGCUUCUACGUGUAGAAGUUUGACGGUACUGUGCGAAUAAGCAUCGGCUAACUCCGUGCCAGCAGCCGCGGUAAUACGGAGGAUGCAAGCGUUAUCCGGAUUUAUUGGGUUUAAAGGGUACGUAGGCGGAAAAUUAAGUCAGUAGUGAAAUCCCGCAGGUUAACUGUGGAACUGUUAUUGAUACUGGUUUUCUUGAAUGUAGUUGAAGUAGGCGGAAUGUGUAAUGUAGCGGUGAAAUGCUUAGAUAUUACACAGAACACCGAUUGCGAAGGCAGCUUACUAAGCUAUGAUUGACGCUGAGGUACGAAAGCGUGGAGAGCGAAC
rnacentral:rRNA from 1 species